rnacentral:rRNA from 1 species
GACAGAGGGUGCAAACGUUGCUCGGAAUCACUGGGCGUAAAGGGCGUGUAGGCGGGAAGGAAAGUCAGAUGUGAAAUUCCUGGGCUCAACCUGGGGGCUGCGUUUGAUACGUGCGGGCUUGAGUUCGGAAGAGGGUCGUGGAAUUCCCAGUGUAGAGGUGAAAUUCGUAGAUAUUGGGAAGAACACCGGUGGCGAAGGCGGCGACCUGGUCCGAUACUGACGCUGAGGCGCGAAAGCGUGGGGAGCAAACAGG